UGGCUCCUCUCCCACAUUGGUCAACAUUCACCCCAUGAGAUGUCAACACCGCCACAGGUCUAGACUGUGUCAUCCAUCCCCUUUGGGUAGUUUCCAGGUCAACUUUUGCACACAGUGAAGCUGAGGUUCAGAAAAGGUGAAGAAACCAUGGCACAGAAGUG